AUUGAACGCUGGCGGCACGCCUAACACAUGCAAGUCGAGCGGCAGCGCGAUAUGUAGCAAUACAUAUUGGCGGCGAGCGGCGGACGGGUGAGGAACACGUAGGAACCUACCCUCGAGUGGGGGAUAACCAAGGGAAACUUUGGCUAAUACCGCAUGAACUCGAGAGAGCAAAGCUGCCGCAAGGUGGCGCUCGAGGAGGGGCCUGCGUCCGAUUAGCUAGUUGGUGAGGUAAGAGCUCACCAAGGCGAUGAUCGGUAACUGGUCUGAGAGGACGACCAGUCACACUGGGACUGAGAGACGGCCCAGACUCCUACGGGAGGCAGCAGUGGGGAAUAUUGGACAAUGGGGACAACCCUGAUCCAGCGAUGCCGCGUGAGUGAAGAAGGCCUUCGGGUCGUAAAGCUCUUUAGGUUGGGAAGAAGGGUGAUGGAGGAAAUGCUAUCACUUUGACGGUACCGACAGAAUAAGCACCGGCAAACUCUGUGCCAGCCGCCGCGGUAAUAC
rnacentral:rRNA from 1 species